rnacentral:lncRNA from 1 species
GACACAGCUGAAAGAGAUUGACCCACAACCACUCUAGGGGCCAUCACCUGCCCUUCUUCAGUCCUGGGCGUGAAGGUAGAUUUCUCCCCUAGCCUGUGCGGGAGAGGAGCCCUGGUUUUUCUAACAAGGACUACUGUAGGUUCGCCGAGUUCGAGGGACGCUACGUAUGCAGCGCCUACGCCCGGACACAGGCUUCCGCGUUACCGACACCGCGUGGGGGAGGAGGGCAAGACCCGAGGCUUGCAGAGAUGGGGGGUGCACGGUGGCCACAGUAGGGAAGGUGCGGAGCAUGAUGGUGCUCUGUAGGAGCGCAGACGCUGAAAGGCGCGCUGCUGUGGCUGGGAGAAGAGCGGAGCCAGGAGUUUGUUCCCAAUAUCUUAGUGCUAUGGCAAAAGAAGGGGGAGGAGUAAUUGUGGGGCCCCCCACACACCCGCUGCGGCGAUACACUCACCCUCGCCAAAGUCCUUCCGGAAGUCUAAGUUCGAAGAUGGCGCCGCCUGUCUGGUCGCGGUCUUAUGACGAAAUCUUGUUAGCUGCUCUUCACUGACGCCCCCACCCCAGUGCACAAGAGAUGGGGUCUCGUUAUGUUGACCAGGCUGGUCUUGAACACCUGACCUGAAGUGAUCCUCUUGCCUCAGCCUCCCAUAGUGCUGCGAUCACAGGUGUAAGUCACUGAGUUUGGCCAUUAUUCCAUUUCUGUACACAAAAACCUUUCUCAUUCUGUGCUAUAACUAGUUAGCAUUUAAUUGGGUGGAUGUGGUAUAACUAGUGCCUUGUUGAUAUUGAUGCAUAUUUACAUGGUUUUGCUGUUAUAAACAAUGGUCCCUUGCUAUUAUAAAUCACACUGCUAUAAG